rnacentral:rRNA from 1 species
GCAGAGAAUUCCCCUCGUACCUUUUGCAUCAUGAUUCAGCUAGUAAAAUACAUGCAAAGAGACCUCUAGUUUGUAACCCCGAAACCCGACGAGCUACUCCGGGGCAGCCUAUCUUCAGGGCUAACCCGUCUCUGUAGCAAAAGAGUGGGAAGACCCCCGAGUAGAAGCAAAAGACCUACCGAGCCGGGUUAUAGCUGGUUGCCCAACAAAUGAAUAAAAGUUCAGCCCCGUUUAGCCCAAAUCACAACAGUUUUACUAAAAAAGAAAAAGAGCUAUAGACGGGAGUUAAUCAAAGGAGGUACAGCUCCUCUGAUAAAGGAUACAACCUUAUUUAAUGGAGGUUAAGGAAUAUAAUUUAUAAGGCUAUAAGUCUCAGUGGGCCUAAAAGCAGCCACCUGACCAGAAAGCGUUAAAGCUCAGACCAACACAAACCUAUUAUACUAUUAAACCACUCCAAAACCCCAUACUUAUAACGGGCCCCUCCUACACACCUGUAGAAGAGAAUAUGCUGAAACGAGUAACAAGAAGACCGAACUUCUCCCCGCACAAGUGUAAAUCAAAUUGGACAAGCCACUGACAAUUAACGAACCCAAUAAAAGAGGGCCCUACAUCACCGCUACUACAAGCCAAGAAAAUUAUGUUUCCCUUUAUCGUUAACCCUACACAGGAGUGCCCAAAUAAGGAAAGACUAAAAGAAAAAAAAGGAACUCGGCAAACCUAAACCCCGCCUGUUUACCAAAAACAUCGCCUCUUGCAACUUUAAAGUAUAAGA